ensembl:snRNA U6 U6 spliceosomal RNA
ACCGUGACAAACCACGGCAACAUACUAAAGUUGAGAUGACACAGAGAAGAUUAGCAUGACCCCUACACAAGGGUGAUGUGCAAACUCGUGAAGUAAUCCAUAUUUUU